rnacentral:rRNA from 1 species
GACGAACGCUGGCGGCGUGCUUAACACAUGCAAGUCGAACGGAAAGGCCCCUUUGGGGGUACUCGAGUGGCGAACGGGUGAGUAACACGUGAGUAACCUGCCCUUGACUUCGGGAUAACUUCAGGAAACUGGGGCUAAUACCGGAUAGGAAUCCUUGCUGCAUGGUGGGGGUUGGAAAGCUUCGGCGGUUUUGGAUGGACUCGCGGCUUAUCAGGUUGUUGGUGGGGUAGUGGCUUACCAAGGCUUUGACGGGUAGCCGGCCUGAGGGGGCGACCGGCCACAUUGGGACUGAGAUACGGCCCAGACUCCUACGGGGGGCAGCAGUGGGGAAUAUUGCACAAUGGGCGGAAGCCUGAUGCAGCAACGCCGCGGGCGGGAUGACGGCCUUCGGGUUGUAAACCGCUUUCAGCAGGGGCGAAGCUUGUGGUGACGGUACCUGCAGAAGAAGCACCGGCUAACUACGUG